GCGAAUAUAGAUUAAUUGGCAAAUCUUUAGUUUUCCAAACUAAUGUUAGGGGUUCAAGUCUCCUUAUUCGCU
rnacentral:tRNA from 1 species